UACGUAGGGUGCGAGCGUUAAUCGGAAUUACUGGGCGUAAAGCGUGCGCAGGCGGUUUUGUAAGCCAGAUGUGAAAUCCCCGGGCUCAACCUGGGAAUGGCAUUUGGGACUGCAAGGCUCGAGUGCGGUAGAGGAGACUGGAAUUCCUGGUGUAGCAGUGAAAUGCGUAGAUAUCAGGAGGAACACCGAUGGCGAAGGCAGGUCUCUGGGCUGACACUGACGCUCAUGCACGAAAGCGUGGGGAGCAAACAGG
rnacentral:rRNA from 1 species